rnacentral:rRNA from 1 species
UACGUAGGGGGCAAGCGUUGUCCGGAAUCAUUGGGCGUAAAGCGCGUGUAGGUGGUCACGCAAGUCAGGUGUGAAAGCCCUGGGCUCAACCCAGGAAGUGCACAUGAUACUACGUGGCUGGAGUACUGAAGAGGAGAGCGGAAUUCCCGGUGUAGAGGUGAAAUUCGUAGAUAUCGGGAGGAACACCAGUGGCGAAGGCGGCUCUCUGGGCAGAUACUGACACUGAGACGCGAAAGCGUGGGUAGCAAACAGG